rnacentral:rRNA from 1 species
CCAAUAGCGUAUAUUAAAGUUGUUGCAGUUAAAAAGCUCGUAGUUGAAUUUCGGGGUCAGUAGGAUGGUCGUGCCAAUGGUAUGUACUGGCUUUACUGAUUCCUCCUUCUUGAAGAACUGUAAUGCCAUUAAUUUGGUGUUGCAGGGAAUCAGGACUGUUACUUUGAAAAAAUUAGAGUGUUUAAAGCAGGCUUACGCUGGAAUACAUUAGCAUGGAAUAAUGAGAUAGGACGUUGAUCUUAUUUUGUUGGUUUCUAGGAUUGACGUAAUGAUUAAUAGGGAUAGUUGGGGGCAUUAGUAUUCAAUUGUCAGAGGUGAAAUUCUUGGAUUUAUUGAAGACUAACUACUGCGAAAGCAUUUGCCAGGGAUGUUUUCAUUAAUCAAGAACGAAAGUUAGGGGAUCGAAGACGAUCAGAUACCGUCGUAGUCUUAACCAUAAACUAUGCCGACUAGGGAUCGGAUGAUGUUAAUUUUUUAAUGACUCAUUCGGCGCCUUACG